rnacentral:tRNA from 1 species
GCGCCCUUAGCUCAACGGAUAGAGCGUCUGGCUUCGGACCAGAAGGUUGGGGGUUCGAAUCCCUCAGGGCGCA